GCGAGGACGACCUCCCCAGAACGGACAAUUUCCGGGACGACCCGG
rnacentral:ncRNA from 1 species